AGACCCGAAACCCGGUGAUCUAGCCAUGGGCAGGUUGAAGGUUGGGUAACACUAACUGGAGGACCGAACCGACUAAUGUUGAAAAAUUAGCGGAUGACCUGUGGCUGGGGGUGAAAGGCCAAUCAAACCGGGAGAUAGCUGGUUCUCCCCGAAAGCUAUUUAGGUAGCGCCUCGUGAAUUCAUCUCCGGGGGUAGAGCACUGUUUCGGCUAGGGGGCCAUCCCGGCUUACCAACCCGAUGCAAACUGCGAAUACCGGAGAAUGUUAUCACGGGAGACACACGGCGGGUGCUAACGUCCGUCGUGAAGAGGGAAACAACCCAGACCGCCAGCUAAGGUCCCAAAGUCAUGGUUAAGUGGGAAACGAUGUGGGAAGGCCCAGACAGCCAGGAUGUUGGCUUAGAAGCAGCCAUCAUUUAAAGAAAGCGUAAUAGCUCACUGGUCGAGUCGGCCUGCGCGGAAGAUGUAACGGGGCUAAACCAUGCACCGAAGCUGCGGCAGCGACGCUGAUGCGUUGUUGGGUAGGGGAGCGUUCUGUAAGCCUGUGAAGGUGGCCUGUGAGGGUUGCUGGAGGUAUCAGAAGUGCGAAUGCUGACAUAAGUAACGAUAAAGCGGGUGAAAAGCCCGCUCGCCGGAAGACCAAGGGUUCCUGUCCAACGUUAAUCGGGGCAGGGUGAGUCGACCCCUAAGGCGAGGCCGAAAGGCGUAGUCGAUGGGAAACGGGUUAAUAUUCCCGUACUUGGUGUUACUGCGAAGGGGGGACGGAGAAGGCUAUGUUGGCCGGGCGACGGUUGUCCCGGUUUAAGCGUGUAGGUGUGUGUUCCAGGUAAAUCCGGUUCACUUUAACACUGAGGCGUGAUGACGAGGCACUACGGUGCUGAAGCAACAAAUGCCCUGCUUCCAGGAAAAGCCUCUAAGCAUCAGGUAACAUCAAAUCGUACCCCAAACCGACACA
rnacentral:rRNA from 1 species